AGGGGUGGAUACAUACGGAGAAGAGGGAGAGAGAGGUAGAGGAGGAAGAAGAGGAGAACCUUCUACACUUCACUUCUGCGUCAGCCACUGCUAACCUCCUCGGCUAGCUAGCUAUUCAUCAUCUUGGCCGCCAUGCUUCGCCUUCGCUAGCUCCUCAGGUCAACUCGCCGCCGUCUGUAUUCUUGUUCCCGCUCGGCAGCCAUAUGGUAGCAUCCAAGACAGGGCCCAGGCUUCAAGGAGAUGGGCAGCAGAUGAUAAAUUAUAACACCAAUUUUACCUUAUCGUUGCCUGACAAAAACCAGCUUCCGCAUUAUAGCACAAGGACCCUAGGAUAGGGCAUGGAUCCAAAUGGAGUUUAGUAACCAGAUCUCCCAGAGAGGCACCGGGUAUUGAUGCAGGUGAGUAAUACAACAGUGCCAAUGCUGUGCUGGUAAUGUAGUUUAAUUAACCGAGCAACAAAUUUGAUCGUGUCUAGCUGAUAAGUUGGGCUAUUCGUUCUUUCUUCUAUUGUCACAGAGGUUUUGCUAGUAACCAUUUCUCAGCAUGCAACUAUGACAAUAUAUAUGUGGCCGUACGUAGUAGCACCUAGCUAGCUGUCAAGUGUCCAUGGCGGAUUGGUGUUAUCUUUGAACUCUUUCUCUUCGCUUGAUUGAACAGACUGAGCUCUUGCCGUAUGUUUCCAAAUAAUAAUAGUAGUAGUAGUAAUGCGAGGGUUGCAUCGUGACGGUGAUGUUGCUCCAAUAAGUUUGUAUAAAAGAGUUCAUCGUAUUCAUCGCUGUUAAUAGUAGCUAGAUGACCUCUGUAGGAAUGGACCAAUUUGGUUCCAUUGUUUUUACAGCUCACCAUGAUCGGUAUUAAUUUCCACAUAAUUCGUUCUAUUGACUUUGCAUAUUGAAUUGCUUAAUCUGCUGAUAACUUGUUGGAGCUCUCCUCAGUGUUCAAUAAUGCAAGUUGAGUGGUUGAGCAGUUACUUAUGUUGUUUUCAUUGCCCAGACCGGUUAAUUUGGGCAUUUUCUGUUAGAUCUUCAGCAACUCAAUGUUUUUCGAUAAACAUGUUACUUACACCCUCAGGCUCCAGCGUGCAUAUCCACAGAAAAGGGCUUGAUUUCAAGAAUUUGUUUUUUUUAGCAGCGGACAUAUAUAUAUGUGGUGGUCAGCAUACACAGUACAUGGACCAGCUGUCUCUUAAAUCUUAGACACAAACCACAGUGCUAUGUGUGUACCAGCUAGCGUACCAUGAUAAAAAGAAAACAUUUUGCAAAUUAAAGUCUUAGAAUAAAAACAAAAAUGAUAGAAAGGACAUAUAUUUUAGUGACUGGGGCCACUGGGCAUGGCUUAGUACUGAACAGUUGAAUAAGACCAAUUAGCAUCACUUGUUUUCUUUUGUGUGUGUGUCGUUUGUUAGCUGGUACGGGCAUCUGAGUGGUGAGGAUUUUCUAACCGGCCGGACUUCAUCACGGGUAUCUAUCUAGUACUGCAGUGCAGUGGAUGUGGAGGUCAUGCACAUGGCCGUGCUUCGAGUCCGGAGCGUCCAGCUCCUCGGAGGUCAACUGUACUCUCCCGGCAUGCUGCCGCCGGCCGGCCGGCCGGACCUGGACAGCCUCCGCGCAACCGCGAGGAGCUCUCGAUCGGCCCCACGCAACUUGAGCACAUGCCGCACGCAACGCGCUCCGUUUUGCGAUGCUUCAAGGUACUAGACUUUGUUGAAGACUUCAAGUUGGUUUGCUAGCUGAAAGUCUGAAACCACGGCGUUGCCUACAUGCUAACAAUGUCUAGAUUUGCAAUAUAACACCAUGUGUGGUUCGCUUUUUUUUUUCUUGGAGAAAGAUCGCCAUGAUUCUUUGCUUGGUUUGUUGCUCUCUCUCUCUCUCUCUCUCUCUCUCUCUUAUUUUUCUUUUUUUAGAAGAUAGAUUAGUAAGGUAGCAGGGUCGCUCGGCAGGAGCCACAGACUCUUUUAAGAAUUUCUUUCCUCAGUACAAGCCAAGUUUUCAUCUCUAUCCGGAAAUGGACCAGUCAAUGUAGGAAAAGUGACGAGUAACGGAGGAGGAGGACGACGACUCAAUCAACCAAAGGGAUAAGGUUCACUAAGUCCAUUGAAAAGUAUAGUAUGUACUAACUCACUGUACAGAGCUUUGUGAGAUGAGAACAAUUAGAUUGGCUUGAUUAGUCCGGCCGUACGUAGAAAUGCGCGUACCAGUAUACAGUGUUAAAAGGUAAUUUUGGCGCGUUAAUUAUUGCCAGGAGAGAAAAUUAAGACGCCAAGGCCAGGAUAACUAAGCUGCUAACACUUGGACUCAUUUUUACUCCGAUCCGUUCGCCGAUGGACCGAAUCAUUUUCUCAGCUCAACUAAUUCCCUCCAUUUCCCAUUCGAAAAAAAAAGCUUCCAUUUCUGACAGAUGGUUACGUACCAAUGGUUGGGGGUCGUUGACAUCUCUGGUCCUACCGGUCUACGUCUCUGAACCAUGAGUCCCUGAAGGCUUACGGAUCUCUGUGUUCUGAAACUCUUGAGAGCCUUAGCUUUCUGGAGCCUUAGUUCUCUGAGCUUAGGUAGGCUCUUCGAAGCACGAAGAUGAUUUAUCAGAUCUUGAGGAAAGAUCAGUCUGAGGGGAUCCAUUAGCUGUUUUCCAUUUGUAAGGAACUUACUAGCAUUUAUUAAUAAGUGUUGAUCAUUCUAAUAUCCUACGCAAGUAGAAGACAGACUGACACAUUGAACAGUGCAGAGUCAUAAUAAGCAACCGACUGAGUACCACGCCCUUAGGAUUACUUGCCCCACUGUAUUGCUAUAGUAGAUAAUAUCUUCUGAUUAGGGGUAAAUGCAUACUAACUAGACUCAUGUUAUGUGAUUCGAUCGAUCUUGAGUCUAUGUGGUAUAAUGAUAGUUUGUACGUUAUCUUUGUAAGAUCAUGCUUGCACAUUUUCACCCUGAACAACACUAUAAAUACAGACACAUGACCCUCAAAUCAGAGAACUAAUCUUUUUUAAUAUCAAUAAAUCUUUGGUUCUUCAUUCUCUCUACUUUUCUCCAAGCUUAAAUCUCCUCUCUAAAAGAGAUUCUCGUCGUAAUUUAUUCAUGAAAGAUAUUUUCUUUUCUAUCAACACUAAUCAUAUAUAGCAGUGAUGAAAUGGCAAAACAAAAGAUUAAGCUAUAUGCGGUUACGUCAUCCCCACGCAAGGCAACCACCGCCUCCGCCUCCGCGUUGCGAGCCCUUUAUUCACUCUGCGCAUCCGCCAAUAUUGACUCCUCUCUCCUUCCCACCGAGCUCGAUCCAUCGCAGGCAGACUCGCAGUGCAGAGAUUAGCCCACUGGGAGCAGCGAUGGCGUCCUUCCGUUAUCUUUAGUACUAAAACCCCAACGAUCGCGUCGUCACCGAUCUGUUCGUCCGUGCUAGCUGCUGGAUUCGGUCGAGAUCUGAGAUCGAUCGAUCUGAGAGAACGAAGAAGGGAACCAGGGCAUAUCCAUCUACGUCGUACGUGAUUGAGAGGCUACAGCUUCACGAAGCUCAUCGAUCGAUCGAUGGCGAAGGGCAUGGUGGACAUGGAGAAGCAGGCGUUCGACGACGGGAUGGACGCUCAUGAGCCGAAGGUGAAACCUUUGAAGAAUUUCAUAAGGACAACUUCCCCGAGGAUGAUGCCGAGUUCUAGGCUUGUGGAACUCUCGGUCGGCUGCCUGUUGGCUUGGAGCUGCGCUGUUCUCUCUUUUUUCUUUCUUUCUUCCGCUGUGGUGUUCUUUUCUUUAGACCCGUGUGUGGUCAUUUUAUAAUAAUUUAGCGUUGUAAUAAGAAACAUUGUGUCUGUUACACUAAUGAAGUCGCUAUAUGUAUGAAUAACUCAUCCUGUCAUACAUAUAGUUUACAUCUGGUUUUGGUCUUAAAA